UAAAGUCGCUCUUAACUUAUGAACAGCUUUAUGAAACGGCCCCCAGGGGUGUUUUCACAAAGAGUUAAGUGGGAUGAUAAAAAUCACAACGGAAUUCCCACUUGCGUAUAGCAUAUAACACAUCACCCCAUUGGUCAGAUCAGGAAUUCCCUCGUCAGAUCAUGCUUGUUGAAAGCGCACUACACAUAGUUGUCUAUGACUUCAUGUGUUGGACACCGUGUGUGCAUUAACCUUUAACCAUGAGUCUUAAUCUUUUGUGAAAUUAUUCUUUGUGAAACGCCCUCGGGAGGUGCUUCAUACAACUGUUUAUGUAUAAAUGACUGUAGUCACCUUACACAUGACUUAAAAAUGGGCAAUUCCAUUAAAUAUGAACGUCCGACCCCUUGUUCCUGGGACCUUCAUUUAAUUUUCUGUCUCUGAUUUCUUGUUCUUUUGAUAGUCUAUAAUGUUCACAAAGGACCAUGACUUGGUCUGUUCAUGAAGUGAAGUAAGACUUGAGAAAAAUGGGGGUCGGACUUACCAAAAGGUUGAUAAUUUUACUGAAUUGCCCAUAUGCAAGUGCGGGCAUGUACGCCCAGAGAUUAGUUGACUUGUUUAAGGAGGAAUUAUUGUAUUUCAUAUUAUGUAGUUGGUGAUCUUGGGCCCUAAAGCUGUGAAUUGCAGUCAUUUAUGCGCUGAUAAAAGGGAUGUAAUGUGAGAUAUUGUCACAUGAUAUCAAAAGAUUUUGUUAGCUUAUUUACAAAAUAAAAGUCAUCUUUUAUAU